AUUGAACGCUGGCGGCAUGCCUUACACAUGCAAGUCGAACGGUAACAGGUUAAGCUGACGAGUGGCGAACGGGUGAGUAAUGUAUCGGAACGUGCCCAGUCGUGGGGGAUAACUACUCGAAAGAGUGGCUAAUACCGCAUACGACCUGAGGGUGAAAGCGGGGGACCGUAAGGCCCCGCGCGAUUGGAGCGGCCGAUAUCAGAUUAGCUAGUUGGUGGGGCAAAAGCCCACCAAGGCGACGACCUGUAGCUGGUCUGAGAGGACGACCAGCCACACUGGGACUGAGACACGGCCCAGACUCCUACGGGAGGCAGCAGUGGGGAAUUUUGGACAAUGGACGCAAGUCUGAUCCAGCCAUGCCGCGUGCGGGAAGAAGGCCUUCGGGUUGUAAACCGCUUUUGUCAGGGAAGAAACGAGUUUCUCUAAUACAGAGACUUAAUGACGGUACCUGAAGAAUAAGCACCGGCUAACUACGUGCCAGCCGCCGCAGUAAAAC
rnacentral:rRNA from 1 species